GGAGAGAAGGAUAACAAAAACGAAGGAUGAUGGUGAUAGAGAAUGGUUGUAAGAAAAGUGACGGAGACCCCAACGAAUGGAAAGGUGGAAGAUUAUAUAUCUUUUACAGAGAAGAUAGUAAUAUUUACUACAACCAUCAGAAAAACAUCAAACCAGAAUUGUAACAGUGAUUGAUAUCAUGAGCUCGGUAAAAGCUCUAAGCGUCCGGUGCUGCUGGAUUGUUCACGUCAACGGGACAAACAGACANN
rnacentral:lncRNA from 1 species